rnacentral:rRNA from 1 species
GACGAACGCUGGCGGCGUGCUUAACACAUGCAAGUCGAACGGUGAAGCGCCUUCCUUUUUGGUGGGUGUGGAUGAGUGGCGAACGGGUGAGUAACACGUGAGUAACCUGCCCCCUUCUUCUGGAUAACCGCAUGAAAGUGUGGCUAAUACGGGAUAUUCUGGGUCUGUCGCAUGAUGGGUCUGGGAAAGAUAUUGUUUCGGUGGGGGAUGGGCUCGCGGCCUAUCAGCUUGUUGGUGGGGUGAUGGCCUACCAAGGCGGUGACGGGUAGCCGGCCUGAGAGGGUGGACGGUCACACUGGGACUGAGACACGGCCCAGACUCCUACGGGAGGCAGCAGGGGGGAAUAUUGCACAAUGGGCGCAAGCCUGAUGCAGCGACGCCGCGUGAGGGGUGGAGGCCUGCGGGUUGUGAACCUCUUUCGCCAGUGAAGCAGGCCUGCCUCGUUUGUGGGUGGGUUGACGGUAGCUGGAUAAGAAGCGCCGGCUAACUACGUG